AGUGAACGCUGGCGGUAGGCCUAACACAUGCAAGUCGAACGGCAGCGCAGUAAGAGCUUGCUCUUACGGGUGGCGAGUGGCGGACGGGUGAGGAAUACAUCGGAAUCUACUUUUUCGUGGGGGAUAACGUAGGGAAACUUACGCUAAUACCGCAUACGACCUACGGGUGAAAGCAGGGGAUCUUCGGACCUUGCGCGAUUGAAUGAGCCGAUGUCGGAUUAGCUAGUUGGCGGGGUAAAGGCCCACCAAGGCGACGAUCCGUAGCUGGUCUGAGAGGAUGAUCAGCCACACUGGAACUGAGACACGGUCCAGACUCCUACGGGAGGCAGCAGUGGGGAAUAUUGGACAAUGGGCGCAAGCCUGAUCCAGCCAUACCGCGUGGGUGAAGAAGGCCUUCGGGUUGUAAAGCCCUUUUGUUGGGAAAGAAAAGCAGCAGGUUAAUACCCCGCUAUUCUGACGGUACCCAAAGAAUAAGCACCGGCUAACUUCGUG
rnacentral:rRNA from 1 species